UACGUAUGGUGCAAGCGUUAUCCGGAUUUACUGGGUGUAAAGGGAGCGCAGGCGGCACGGCAAGCCUGAUGUGAAAGCCCGCGGCCCAACCGCGGGACUGCAUUGGGAACUACCGGGCUGGAGUGCCGGGGAGGUAGGCGGAAUUCCUAGUGUAGCGGUGAAAUGCGUAGAUAUUAGGAGGAACACCAGUGGCGAAGGCGGCCUACUGGACGGUGACUGACGCUGAGGCUCGAAAGCGUGGGGAGCAAACAGG
rnacentral:rRNA from 1 species